AAAAGGCUGAGGUCUCAAGAGGAAAGAAUUCUGGCUCCAGAGUGCCUUCAGACACAAGACAGUAGCUUCUUGCCAGAAUUUCCAUUCUUCUAGCUCGUCCUGAGGAUUUCAGACUUGGCAUCUACUAUACUCAUAAACUCAGAAUAUUAAAUAGAAGAAUACAAAGUAAUUUUCCAGACCAAGAGCAUUUAGGAUAAAACCAUGGAACUCUACAAGGGAAUUCCCCAAGUGAAAAGUCUUUCCUUGGAAUAAAAUGGAAGGAUCACAGCAUUCUCUAGAGAAGAGACAAGGUCUUGCAUGGGGCAGAAAUCCAACUUUGCCAUGGAGUCAUUUUGUAAUCUGGGCUUAUCAACAUAGUCUCUUCAUGUUUACUCUGUUUCCUAAUAAAGACAUCUGAAAGUAAAGAGGGUGAGAGACUUCCUUAUGACUGUGGAGACUGCUGAUAUUUGCUGCAGGAAAUAGAUUCUAUGAGCGCUUCCUUCCUGUCAGGACUGAAAACAGGAAGCCCUGGAGAGCUGACUCUACCUCAGCAUUGUGGGGAAGUCACACACAGAGAGAGAGAGAGGCAGAGACAUAGGCAGAGGGAGAAGCAGGCUCCAUGCA